rnacentral:rRNA from 1 species
GACGAACGCUGGCGGCGUGCCUAACACAUGCAAGUCGAACGAGACCUUCGUGCCUAUUGGCGCACGGGGGCGUGACGACUGGGGAGCUACCCGUGAGUUACCUAUACCUCCCCGAGGGGGGUGCUAAUACCGGUUAAUCUCUUACGACCAAAGAUUUAUCGCCUUUGGAUGGGCCCGGGUUGGAUUAGCUAGUUGGUAGGGUAAAAGCCUACCAUGGGGACGUUCCUUAGCUGGUGGGUGAGGAAGAUCAGCAACGCUGGGACUGCGACACGGCCCAGAACCGUACGGAGGGGAGGAGUGGGGAAUAUUGGAGGAUGGGCGAAAGCCUGAUCCAGCAACGCCGCGUGAGUGAUGAAGGCGUUAGGGUUGUAAAGCUCUUUUACCCGGGAUGAUAAUGACGGUACCGGGAGAAUAAGCACCGGCUAACUACGUG